AGCCUUUGACCUGCAGGUACCCGGCCGAAAGUUAAUCAUUAAGGAAUGGGGCACAGAUUCACCCAGAAGUCCACUCACCCAGCCCUGACGCAGGAAGGAGGAAGGUCAGACAAUCCUAAACACCCACCAGGAGGCAACGGGUUACGUAAAUCAGGGUCCCUUCAGGCAACAGAACAUUGCGUCACCCUGGAAAUGGCGCGGGGGCCCUGGGCUCUCAGACCCGAGCUUGGUCCGUUCUAACGGAGAAGCGCGUGCCCCAGGGUCCCGGAGGAGGUCUGCCCCAGGGACACAGGGGCCGCGGAGGUGCCCCUCGGGAAGUCCAAGGCGCUGGGGAAAACCAGUCUUUCUGGGGCCCAAGGGAAGCCUGUCUUUACCAUGACGGUUAGACCAUCUCUGUGAUGUAGCAUCAGAACGAACACACAGCAUUUCGGACUUCACUGCCAACUGCGGGUCCCCGGGAAUGGGACUGAGGACUCUGGUUCUACUGAGAGAAGCAGAGGUGCUCGAGGAUCUCGAGGGGAGAUCGCCCCGGAUCACCUGGACGGGCCCUGCUCCCAGCCGCUGCCCUUGCAAGAGGAGAGGACACCGCGGGGAUCGGGGAUCGGGCUGGGGCCCGGAUAACUCCUGCCCCUGGCCCCCAUCCCCUGCAGACAGAGAUGGCCGGCGCCUGGGGAGGUGGCCCUGAGCUCCUGCCAGUAUCCAAACCAUCCUGCCCCGCCCCCCCCGCCCCCACCUGGAGGCCCUGAGAACUCCCAAGCUUCCUCCCCUCUCCAGAAGCCCCCCCACACUGAGAAAGUGACCCUCCUCCCUGCGUGCCUGGAGCCCCCACCCCUGAUGGGGAGGUGGCCCCCCAGACGAGCCCCCCCUCCCCCCGCCCCCGCCUCCUUAUCCCAGCCGGAGUGAGCCCUCUGGGCCACGCACUCACCGGCCGUUGGUCUGCGCCCCGUCCACGGUGAUCCUGGGCCUUCCGGGCUGAAGUUCCACAUCCAGAGCCCUCGUCAAGGGCCCUCAGGACCCCGUGCCAGCUGAGACCUCCAACCUCACACCUGCUGUGGUGUCUGCGGUUUCAUACCUGUCCGUGGCCUCUGGGCCUCUGCGUACUCUGUUCCUCUGCUGGAACCGCACUCCUGCCCGGCCGCCCCUGUCCCUCAUCCUGGAGGUCCCAGACAUCACCCUCCCUGGGCCUGGCCUGGGUCCCCACCACGUGCUGGGCUCCUCAUGCUCACCCCUCCCAGGGGACGACGUGGCCCCUGACCUCGGUCCAAAGGUCAGCGGGGCCCAGGGCAGUGGGAUGGGUUAUCCCUGGAAGGGCAGUCUUCCCGGGAGCCAUUUUCCCUGUGACAUACUUGCGCUCAAGACUACGGGGUACCAGCACCCGGGAGUUUUAGUCGGACGUGCGACUAUCCAGAGGAAGACAACGUUUCCCAGCCAUCUUUGCAGCAAAUAAGGUCAUGUGACUAAGCUUACAGGCACUUGAACAGAAGUGAUAGAUUAUUUCCAGGUCCUUAAAGGGAGAGGCGUGCUUUUCACUUCUUUGCUCUUCCUCCGUGCUGGAGUGUGGAGGUGAUGGCUGGAGCUGCGGCAGCCAUUUUUGACCACAAGACAGAAACCAUGUCUUGAGGACUGCAGCACAGAAGGCAGGAGUUUAAGUUCCUGACAACAGGGGUUCUCAGCCCUUGGAUGCUUACCCUCUGAGCACAAUGUGAGAGAUAAAUAAACUCUUCUCCUGAA